UACGUAGGGUGCAAGCGUUGUUCGGAAUCAUUGGGCGUAAAGCGCGUGUAGGUGGCUAGUUAAGUUGGAUGUGAAAUCCCUGGGCUCAACCGAGGAAGUGCAUUCAAAACUGGCUGGCUAGAAGAUAGUAGAGGAUGGUGGAAUUCCAAGUGUAGAGGUGAAAUUCGUAGAUAUUUGGAGGAAUACCGGCGGCGAAGGCGGCCAUCUGGGCUAUUCUUGACACUGAGACGCGAAAGCGUGGGGAGCAAACAGG
rnacentral:rRNA from 1 species